rnacentral:rRNA from 1 species
AGGUCUUGACAUCCUCUGACACUCCUAGAGAUAGGACGUUCCCCUUCGGGGGACAGAGUGACAGGUGGUGCAUGGUUGUCGUCAGCUCGUGUCGUGAGAUGUUGGGUUAAGUCCCGCAACGAGCGCAACCCUUGUUCUUAGUUGCCAGCAUUUAGUUGGGCACUAUAAGGAGACUGCCGGUGACAAACCGGAGGAAGGUGGGGAUGACGUCAAAUCAUCAUGCCCCUUAUGACCUGGGCUACACACGUGCUACAAUGGGUGGUACAAAGGGCAGCAAAACCGCGAGGUCGAGCCAAUCCCAUAAAACCAUUCUCAGUUCGGAUUGUAGGCUGCAACUCGCCUACAUGAAGCUGGAAUCGCUAGUAAUCGCGGAUCAGCAUGCCGCGGUGAAUACGUUCCCGGGUC